CCAAAUACAAAAAAAUCUGAUCUCCCUGCUCCAACCCCCUCGCAUCCUCUUCUCCCUUCGCUCAAACCCCCUCGCUCUCCUCCUCCUCCGCGGCGGCAACCAAUGAGCUAGGGUUUCGGCGGCCGGAGUUCGGCCGCGAGGAUCUCGCGAGGACCGUCGCCAGAGGAGUAAGCGCCAAUGUCGAGGCGCGAUGGUGGUGGGGAAGCAGGAGUCCGGCGACCUGGUUGUGAUCGCGGCGGUGUCGUAGGCAUGGAAGGGGUAGACGGAGAAGAAGGUGAUGCUAGGGGAACACGAUGUCCAUAGGAAAAGCAAGAAGAAGUUGACCAAGAUACAAUCAACGCUUAGCUACAAGAAUCGAACAACGAAGAAUAACUAAAAUCCAUCUAAACACUCAAUUUCAGCUCAAGGAGCAGAACUACAUCAAUUUUGAGUCAAUUGACCUGAAAUUCGGUAGAAAGGAUUAGUCCACAAGUUCAUCUCCUCCACAAGAGCACCCUCAUUUUUACUCCCACCCCUAAGGGAAAGAGGAAAGUUGUGAUAUCAACAAAUAUUGCUGAGACAUCAUUGACUUUGGAGGGAGUAGUGUACGUCGUUGAUAGUGGGUUCUCAAAGCAGCGCUUUUAUAAUCUGGUACUGAAGCGUACUUUCUUAUUGCUUACAUGAUUACUUAUUGCAUUUAUAGGAGUAUUAGUAAAUGUCCCAUUUUGGCAUUGUUGCAUAUGGUACUUCAGUUGUAAAGUUGAUACUGGUCCGCAUCUAUGUUGUAUUAAUGCCUAGAUUCUAAGGCUCUUGGCAGUUUUAUUAGCUACUCUUUUGCUAGAUGCUUAAUUCUAAUCUUUUAUUCCUUAUAUACAUAACUCAGUUACAA